AUUGAACGCUGGCGGCAGGCCUAACACAUGCAAGUCGAACGCGUGGCGGACGGGUGAGUAAGGUCUGGGAAACUGCCUGAUGAAGGGGGAUAACUACGGGAAACGGUAGAUAAUACCGCAUAACAUUAGAUGGGGCCAGGUGGGCUUAGCUAGUUGGGGGGGUAACGGCUCACCAAGGCGACGAUCCCUAGCUGGUCUGAGAGGAUGACCAGCCACACUGGAACUGAGACACGGUCCAGACUCCUACGGGAGGGAGCAGUGGGGAAUAUUGGACAAUGGGCGCAAUCCUGAUGGAGCCAUGCCGCGGGAAUGAAGAAGGCCUUCGGGUUGUAAAGUUCUGUCGGUAGUGAGGCGUUAUCCACCGAAGAAGCACCGGCUAACUCCGUGCCAGCAGCCGCGGUAAUAC
rnacentral:rRNA from 1 species